rnacentral:rRNA from 1 species
UACGGAGGGUGCGAGCGUUGUCCGGAUUUAUUGGGUUUAAAGGGUGCGUAGGUGGGUUAAUAAGUCAGUGGUGAAAUACGGUUGCUCAACAAUCGAGGUGCCAUUGAUACUGUUAAUCUUGAAACAAGUGGAGGUUGCCGGAAUGGAUGGUGUAGCGGUGAAAUGCAUAGAUAUCAUCCAGAACACCGAUUGCGAAGGCAGGUGGCUACGUUUGAUUUGACACUGAGGCACGAAAGCAUGGGGAGCAAACAGG